rnacentral:rRNA from 1 species
CAGCCGCCGCGGUAAUACCGGCGGCCCGAGUGGCGGUCACUAUUAUUGGGCUUAAAGCGUCCGUAGCCAGGUUGGGAAGUCCUCCGGGAAAUCUGGCCGCUUAACGGUCAGAAUGCCGGAGGAUACUCCCAGCCUAGGGAGCGGGAGAGGCCGAGGGGAUUCCCGGAGUAGGGGUGAAAUCCUAUAAUCCCGGGAGGACCACCUGUGGCGAAGGCGCUCGGCUGGAACGCGUCCGACGGUGAGGGACGAAGGCCAGGGGAGCAAACCGGAUUAGAUACCCGGGUAGUCCUGGCUGUAAACGAUGCGGACUUUGUGUCGGACAAGCUAUGAGCUUGUCCGGUGCCGGAGGGAAACCGUUAAGUCCGCCGCCUGGGGAGUACGGCCGCAAGGCUGAAACUUAAAGGAAUUGGCGGG